ACAGCAGUAGCCGCGGUAAUACGUAGGGCGCAAGCGUUGUCCGGAAUUAUUGGGCGUAAAGAGCUCGUAGGCGGUCUGUCGCGUCUGGUGUGAAAUCCCUAGGCUCAACCUCGGGCUUGCAUCGGGUACGGGCAGACUAGAGUGCGGUAGGGGAGACUGGAAUUCCUGGUGUAGCGGUGGAAUGCGCAGAUAUCAGGAGGAACACCGAUGGCGAAGGCAGGUCUCUGGGCCGCAACUGACGCUGAGGAGCGAAAGCAUGGGGAGCGAACAGGAUUAGAUACCCGCGUAGUCCCUGUCUCUUAUAC
rnacentral:rRNA from 1 species